rnacentral:rRNA from 1 species
AGUGAACGCUGGCGGUAGGCCUAACACAUGCAAGUCGAACGGCAGCACAGUAAGAGCUUGCUCUUACGGGUGGCGAGUGGCGGACGGGUGAGGAAUACAUCGGAAUCUACUUUUUCGUGGGGGAUAACGUAGGGAAACUUACGCUAAUACCGCAUACGACCUACGGGUGAAGGCAGGGGAUCUUCGGACCUUGCGCGAUUGAAUGAGCCGAUGUCGGAUUAGCUAGUUGGCGGGGUAAAAGCCCACCAAGGCGACGAUCCGUAGCUGGUCUGAGAGGAUGAUCAGCCACACUGGAACUGAGACACGGUCCAGACUCCUACGGGAGGCAGCAGUGGGGAAUAUUGGACAAUGGGCGCAAGCCUGAUCCAGCCAUACCGCGUGGGUGAAGAAGGCCUUCGGGUUGUAAAGCCCUUUUGUUGGGAAAGAAAAGCAGCAGGUUAAUACCCCGCUGUUCCGACGGUACCCAAAGAAUAAGCACCGGCUAACUUCGUG